GCCAGACUCCUACGGGAGGCAGCAGUGGGGGAUAUUGCACAAUGGGGGGAACCCUGAUGCAGCGACGCCGCGUGGGUGAAGAAGCGCCUCGGCGCGUAAAGCCCUGUCAGCAGGGAAGAAAAUGACGGUACCUGAAGAAGAAGCCCCGGCUAACUACGUGCCAGCAGCCGCGGUAAUACGUAGGGGGCAAGCGUUAUCCGGAUUCACUGGGUGUAAAGGGAGCGUAGACGGCGACGCAAGUCUGGAGUGAAAGCCCGGGGCCCAACCCCGGGACUGCUCUGGAAACUGCGUCGCUGGAGUACGGGAGGGGCAGGCGGAAUUCCUGGUGUAGCGGUGAAAUGCGUAGAUAUCAGGAGGAACACCGGCGGCGAAGGCGGCCUGCUGGACCGUGACUGACGUUGAGGCUCGAGAGCGUGGGGAGCAAACAGGAUUAGAUACCCUCGUAAG
rnacentral:rRNA from 1 species